UGCCAGCAGCCGCGGUAAUACGAAGUGUGCUAGCGUUGUUCGGAAUUACUGGGCGUAAAGCGCGCGUAGGCGGACUUUUAAGUCAGAUGUGAAAUCCCGAGGCUCAACCUCGGAACUGCAUUUGAAACUGGGAGUCUAGAGGUCAGGAGAGGUUCGUGGAAUGCCGAGUGUAGAGGUGAAAUUCGUAGAUAUUCGGUGGAACACCAGUGGCGAAGGCGACGAACUGGACUGAUACUGACGCUGAGGCGCGAAAGUGUGGGGAGCAAACAGGAUUAGAUA
rnacentral:rRNA from 1 species